rnacentral:lncRNA from 1 species
GUACUUAGCGUGGCAGGCGGCCCGCGGGCGGUGGUGGAGACCCUCUGUGGGCAGGGCCUUGUGCUGGGACGACCAUCCCUCAGCCGCAGGGUCGCCCGGUGACUUUCAGCUUUGAAUUCAGAGACUAUUGACGCCCCAGGCGGGGCCAGCGUCUCCAGACCAGGCCACGGGGCUGCAGAGAGAAGAACACGCCUGCUUUUGCCGCGGAUCGCGAGCGCUCGGGCGCAAAGACCCAGAGUGAGGUGGGGCUGACACGUCAAAGACAUUAUAAGGAAGAAGAUGAAACUCAAAGGCUCCACAAAAUUACCCAUGAAUAUGAUCCAGCAUUGGAAUGCACCCUGGAGCUUGAGGACAUGCCUGAAAUCCCCUGCAAACACUUGUCUUUCACUCCUCCUCAUACGCAGAAAGGAUGUGCACAUAUGACCCCUGGACUCACACAUGAUUCCAGCCCACAGUCACACUAAACUUGGGUUCGAGUUACACGUGUGCUUGCUUACACCUCAACUCACACACUCCCACCUGGACAUUUGUGUACACAGGCCUAUUCAUUCCUAGCAGAGCCAAAAUCUGCAUUUACAGCUACAUCAAAAACACACUUUUAGGUCCCUCAGAAACAAAUGGCAACAGAGAAGGGAAACAGGGCAGCUCUAAGAAUGGCCCUGCUCCCUCCUCUUCUGUCCGGGAGCAAAGCAACCAGGAUCUUUUGGGCUAAGUCGAUAUGCUGGGCCCCAGUGUAGACUCUUACAACAGGCCCUGAUCCGACUCCAAGGCCAAGAGCAGCAAUCCCCUCCCCGCCACGUCUGCUGGGUUCCUCCAGCUGUCUCCAGGGCAGUUCUCCCUACAUGCAAACUAUUAGCAUUUCCUGUUAAAACAUUUCUAAUAAAUAAAUGAAUACAUCAUCUUCCCAACCCAAAGCAGGUCUGAAAGCAGCCUAGGAGCUACUCCAAGCUAAGGAUGGACGUGGACCACCCAGCACCAGCCCACUGGCCCAGGGCCAAUGUUGCUUUUGUUUGAAUUCCUGU